UCCGGUGCUCCCACGGGCACAUACUGACCGCGUGUGUCUGGGCGCAGUGGCAGCCAUGGUGGCAUUAUCUGUGCCAUGGACCACGCCACCCAGAGACCUGGCAGCCCCACCUCAGUACAUACUCCAGAGGGGAGUCCCCAGGUGCCCCCAAGACGAUCACAAAGCUGACUGAAGCGGCUGUCCUGGGAACAAUGAGCAGAAAGAGCCAGUGGCCUCGGACGAGGGGCUGGGUAAGGGGCUGAUACCACCUGGGGCUGUUGCGCCUGGUGAGUCGGGAGGAGGUGGGCACACGGGCGGUUAAUGGAGGCGUCCACGGAGACGAGCUCACUCUGCACUCGGCAUUCCUGGCUGCGUACGUCACCUACUCAGUUAAAGAGUGAAGACGUGUCCCUGUGGGGUCCCUCUGUCUGUCUGUCCCCGGGAAGUUCUUUCCUCCUUCCCAGCUCCCGGCUGACCCAGUGCCAUCUCCAGCAGCCCACACCUCCCUCCCCUUUCCCAAGAAAGACAAGUCCUGAGCUCUGGCUCUCAGAGGCCACAUCCUGCCCCGCGCAGUGUCCCCUCUCCACUUCAGGAAGACAGGUUCUCCCUGCCUUCUGCCCCAGGGGAAUGCUGGAGGGGAUCCCUCAGGAGGGCCACCCUCUGCCCACACACAGCAAGGACUUGCUGAGGCCACGCAGAGGCCUGUGGGAACAAAGGGCCCCGGCAGAAGGGCGGGCAGGGCUGGCCCCUGGAGGAAGCCCAUAAAUGUUCCUCAACAGCCGAGCCCCACCUCAGGUUGGGAAGGGCAGGAAGGGCCAGCGCUGGGGACGAGCCCAGGGGUCGUGCUCUUCGUCAUAAGCACAGAAGAUGACUUUGUGGAAAUGGGCGAUAAAGGAUUGUGAGAGGGCCUCGGUUGGGCGGGCAGGAGCUCCCAGAACCAGUGGCCCGCUGUGACAGGGAGCUGUCCCCACUGUGGCACAGAGUGGCCCACCAGAACUUGCCCCCAGUGAGCCUUGGAGCCCGCAAGGCAACCACGUGGCCUCUGCAGCAGGAGCCAGGCCUGGGAAUCAGGACAGCUGCAGCCACAGAGCGAGCGGGAGAAGGGCCCCCUGAGCCUCUGGUUCAAGUCCCCGUGCACUCUGCCCCAGAGGCAGGGGAGGCAGGGGAGGGGUCUCCAGGGUUUUCAGCCUCCUUAGAGGAAAUACUCUCCCUGCACAACCUAUCCAGACUCACACGACAGAGACACCCAGCCUGGGGGGGGGGGUCCACACCCCUUUCCAAAGGCCAAAAUGAAUGAGUGUCCACCACACUGUCCCUGCUUCUGAACCUGAAGGGGCAGAGCUGAGGUGACCGACUAUGAGUAGGUAGGUGCUGUCUGCUUCCAACAGGAAGGUCUCACCUUGUGCUCACAGCCCCCCAGCUUUGGCUUGGACAGUGGAACAAGGACAUGCUGUCCAAUCAGAGAGCUGCCACUGACUGAUUCCGAACCCUGAAGCCAGUCCCCCCCCCACACACACACACACCCGUGCAAGGGUCCCCAGCAUGACCGACAGCCAGGCUGGCUCACACUCAUUAUUCUAAACCUCAGGUGAGGGGCCCCUGGGCCAACGGGAGGGGCACAUCUUUCAAAGCCACAGGAUCCAGAACCAGGGGCUGGUGAGGGUAGGGAUGGCAGCAUCCUGGUGUGGCACCCUGAGGGCUUGGCACUGGGCAGAAUAGGGAAGGAGGCUGUGGGGACUAGGGCUGGGUCUAAGAGGUUGGUCCCGUGUCACCACACACCCUUGGGUCAGGAGCAGGCGAUGCCUGUCCUCUCUGCCUCCCGGGGUCCUGGUUCACAGGCUGCCCAGCUCCCUAGCUCCAGCCUAGAUAAGAGGCCUAGAGGAGUCGGGUGGCAACAAGGCCAUAUGGUCACUAAGCACUUCCAGGGUGCUGGGCACCCCGCCAGGCUCUUUAACUGCAUCGUUUCAUUCAUUCAGUGAUCGUCUUGCCCACAUUUGACAGGUGAGGAAACCAAGGCACAGAGGAGAGAAGCCACUUUCCCCAGGUUCCUGUGGCCAGGAAGCCCAGACUCAGGAUUGGAGCUCAUUUCUCCCUCCCCGGAGCUGGGAGGCUCUGGGGAAGGCAGGUCUGGGGUCUGUAGCAGAGAUCUGCGUGGCCCUGGGAGGGCGGUAGUGCUGGGGACACAAGGAGAGGAGCUCCAGGAGAAGGACUGGCCUCAGACUUCCCCAGGCGCAUUCUUGUCUAGACUGGUCACAGAGAAGUCAUAACUUGGGACAGAUGUGACACAUGGCAGAAGAAGGUAGGUCUAACAGCGUGCUCUUGUCCCUGGCUCCUCGUGAGCUGUGGCUGAGAUGGCUUCUGGGCUGGGAGAACCAGACUGGGCAGCAUCCCAGCCGGGCAGUACCCAAGAUAAGACCUUGCAUGGUCACCUCCAUGUCCUCAUUGUCAGGGGGGGAUAAUGAUCUCCCAGGCUUUGUGGUGGGCCUCAGAGAAGUGAUAUAUACAAAACUCUAGGCAUUUUAGGAUAUAUGAGAUUGCAAUAGCUACUCAAGCAAUGUUCAUUAAAUAUGUUAAAUCCAACCAAAUCCAUCAAAAAAAAAAAAAACUGAAUACUAAGUGUUCUGCUUGCCCUACUUGAGCAUCUCUGGGGGGGCACCUGAGCAGAGGGAGGGGGGCACUGUCCCCGAGUGCUGGCACAGGAGCUUGCUGACACCCUGAAGAAUGAGACAAACCCAGGCUUGUCUUGCUUUUCAGUUACUGUUAUUAAAAACCACGAAUUCACCCAAUUCUUCCAAAUCCACCCCCGCCCUGCCAGCCCAGCCCUGAACCCAUCCCAGCGAAGGCCCAGCUACAGAGAGUGGUGCCCAGCUCUGCCUCCAACCAGCCUUUGCAAGCCCUGCUCGGUGAUCUCAGCUGCUGCACAGGAAGGGAAACAUCUGCAGUCACCGCUGGCCUGGGCUGAGGGGGGUCAGUUUCACAGGAGAGAACAGCAGCCCCCUCCUUUGCUUCCUCAGACCCCUCUGUUCUCCAAAACAGAGGUCAAGUUCACCAGAACCCUUUAGAGGAAACAGCAAAUCUUUCUGCAGAGCCCACCCUCCAGGCCACUGUGCAGGCAGGACCUUCUCUUAGAGCUCAGGCCAGCAGGCCUCGGCGGGGAGUCACCAUGGCCAUCUCCAGCCAGAGCCGGUGUCCAGGCUCUGUCCUGCUCUGGGUUCCCAGGGAUGAGGCAGGCGCAAGCCCCUCUUCCCUCGCCAAGCCCUGUGCACCCACCCAGGCCCAGAACCAGGGAGAGGCCCUGCUGUUUCCUGAGCCUGGUGCUCCCCACCAGCCCGGAGAGCAGCGUGGACAGAACUACCCCACAGCCCCCCUCUUCUACUUGCCAGCCGUGACACUGGGACAAGCCACUCCACGUGCUUGAACUCAGCUUCAGUCAGAUGGGAUCCCAACAGUGCUCAUGGCCCACGACUUCAGAGGGAAGGUUCAGUGAGAUGAGGCAGAAGGGGCCUGGCCAGGAGGUGCGCCACGGACGCCUGCGUCCUUACAUGAUUAACAUUAUUAACUUCUGGCUGUUGGUGCUGCUCCAGGUCUUUCCAUUGCCGUACGGGGUCUGGGCGCCCCGCAUCCCAGUGAGCUCACCGUGGCCCUGACCCUGCCUGGCCCUCCCUCCCGCUCUCAGCCUGGGCCUGUGUCGGCCCUGGCCCGGCCCUGCUGCCCCUGGUGCUGGAGGCCAAGCCCCAGGCCUGCCGGUGUGGCCAACCCCCUCCGGAGCCUCAGCCUGGACCCUGAUCUACACCAAGGUCACCUGCCUCCGUGUUUGGGGAGAAUAGGUUUACCAUUAAGACUUCUCACUCCACUCACAAGCAGCCUGUUCCUUCCUGCCAGAAAGGUGCGGAUCACUCCUUGUUGUUGUUAGUUUCCAUUUUUAAGACCUGCUUCUUAAACAGAGGCAUACAAAGGACAAAGCAAAAGGCUUAAAAGCCGGCUUUCCUUCCUCGCCCCCCAGCUCGGCCCUGCAGGGUGUUCUUGCCCCACCCCCCACACCCCCACCCCCGCUUGUCUUUUCUGGCACAUGCAGCGCACACAGGGCCUCUCAGACUUUUCCCACCAGGCCCUAUAGACAGCCUCUGCUCUCUACCGCUUCCUGGCCUCACUGGGGAAAUGCCCCCUGGUUAUAAUGCUUUAAUCCCACUUACUCCCCUCUGGACUAAAUAUCUUUGUGUGUUUGGGCAGGUCAUUUCAUGGAAGAAAUCCCCAGAAGUGGAAUUACUGAUCAAAGGGCCCAAGGUCUCCCUGGUUGCUACCUAUUGGCUUAGCCCUACAGCCUGCUGGGUGUCCUGCCCCAGGCCCUGUCCACCCCACCUUCCCAACUGAGUCCAGUGCAGGCCUCACAACCAAGCCAUCAUUCACAUGCUGGUUCACUCCAUCUGUCCUAAUCUCCCCUGGCCAGGUCCGGGGCCAGGUGCUCGGGAUUCAUACAAGUCCUUCAGAAGCCCAUGACCUUGGGCUAACUCCUCUUCGUGAAAUUUCCUGGGACUGCCACACAGGGCCUCUGCCCCUCGUGGGCUUCUGCAGCUGCAGUCAACAAAUAGUUGGCGCAUCUUCUCGCUGUGGUGGAGACGCACACAGGCACCGUCCAGAGCGGCCUUGUUCUGUAGCCAGUGACACAAGUUCUCCUCCCUUCUCCCAUCCCAGAGACCACGGCUACUGGGAUUCCUGUCCUGGGAAUUUGGAAAGGCUGAGGUGUCAGGUGGACAGUGCUGAGCUUUGGAAGUUGGAGGCCCAGCUGAGGGACAACCUAAGGCACACACAGGACAAGGCCAUGGGACAAAGGAACAGCGCUGCUGGGGAAGUCAGCCUGCAGGGUGGAGAGCGAGACUGAGCACAGGGAGGGACAGGCCUGCAGGCACCACCCCGCAGAAAGGCCCAGAGAUGCCUCCCCUGCAGUGAAGUCCUGGGAGGCCCCUGGGGUCCGCCACAACCUCCUCUGGUGUGAACUGACUGAUCCAAAACCCUGGCCUGGGGCCUCCUCAUCAGCCGGAGUCCUCUGAUCCUCUCCGCCACCUCUACACCCAAACUGGCCUCCAGAGGGAAGCCCAACACCUGUCCACCAGGCCAGAUGCGAUGCUGCGUGUGUCACCCAGGCUGAGCCACGAAGUCCCCACCAGGCCACAGGGAAGCGCCACAACACUGCAACAGCUUCCUGUGUCACCUCUGCUUCUAGCAAGUGUCCUGUGGCCCAGGUCCCCUUGAUCUCAAAUCCCUGUUUCUCAAGUCUGUGGAGAGGGUUGGAUGUGCGCAGGUGGCAUGUCUGAGAACUGGGGGGGGCAUGGCGACAGGAAACUGCACCGGCUCUGCCACCGGCAGAGGACCAGGCUGCACGGCCAAGUGGCACCCCAGGACGGCUGAGCCUGGCACGGCCUGACUCUGCAGAGCCCCCAGGGCUGUGAGCGCCCCCAGGGCUGUGAGCACCCCCACUGCCGGGCCUUGAGGCCAAGGGUAACGAGGAGACGCCACAGAGCAGCCUCACUUCAGAAGGAGCACGUGUCCUGCCUUCCCCGCUCCUGCCGCGUGGGAACAGGGAACACGGUGUCUCCAGGGAACACAUGGCUGAGGCUUAUGUAAGGUAAGAAGUAGAAAAGUUUCCCCAGCAUGACAUUUCAUAACCAGCCCACUCCCCGCCCUGCCCCGUCCUCAUGAGGAGAAGGGACACCGUCAGGGAAGAGGGUAGUGUUCAGGGCACAGGUGACCCUUGUCCUCACCCUGACGAGGGCCAUCUGGUCUCUGUCAUCUCCACCUCACAGACUCCGGGGUUCACUUGCCCAAGCACUUGAGAGGAUUCCAGAGGGAUCCUCACCCUGGCCCUGUGGGGUCCUCCCCGGGCUCUGGAGGACACACACCACAGAACCCACAUGAUAGGCCUUUCCGGCAGGUGAACAGGAUGUGGGAGAAAGGGCUGCCAGCUGCACAGUUAGGCCUCAGCGCUCACUGCCCUGAGCAGAGAGCCCGGCGUGGCUCUUUCAUGACCUCCUGGCAGGACAGCUGGUCCCUGAGGAGGGCGACAGCAGAGCAGGUCCCGGGAGCCAAGGGGCAUAGCAUCUGAGAGCCCCCCAGGCUGGCCACCUGGCUUCAGGGCCCCAGCUGGCACCAGCAUGGCCACACCAGUCAUUUCUGGAUGGAUGCCUGAUGUUUGGGGGACUCCAUACAGAUAGAGUCCGCUGCUGUCCUGCAACAAGGGCCUCAGGGAGGACAGGGUCGGCCAGUUCCGUGGGCCAGGAUUUGGGGCAGUGCUUGUUGCAUUCCAGGGAAACAGGACAUUAGGAGCAGAGGGUCGCAAACAAGCAAAGACAUUAUGGGGGGGGGGACAAUUUGCUGCUCAGGGAGGGCUUCCUGGAGGAGGAAAUGCCAUGAGUGCCUCUUAGAAAAUCAGUAGGGGUCAUCUGAGAAGGCUCAGGGAGUGUGGGAGGGUGAGGGCAUCCAUUUUCUUUCUUCCUCCAGGUGGGGGACAGGGGACAACAGCCCCCACCCCAGGUACUGUGGCAGCCUAGCAUUUGUAGAGAAGCCUGGCAGAGUGGGCCGAGGGCUGGAGGGGUCCAGUCACUUGCCCUGGCACUUGCCGUAGAGCCUGGGGUGUCGACUUGGGGCAUCGGGGCCAGGAGAGGUGCUGUCCAACUUACAGUGACAGAAACAGUUAACAGGCAAAGUUCUCAGGCCCUGAGCACUCAGCAGAGCCCAGGUGGGCUUCUGCCUGCAGGUGGCACUGAGUGGCACUGAAAGUCAAGAGAAAGAGGCCCAGGGCCACAGGCGACUGGGAGCGCAGGACAGGGAGAGGCCUCGUGUCACUAAUUUAGGAGCCCGUAGGCCUUUCCUAAUGACAGCCUCGGUGGUCCCCAGGGGACCGCAGGUGCUCCUGCCAGCCAGGUGAUGGAAAUGCCACUAACACGUUGUACCUCAGCCCAGGAAUCUUCUGUUGUGUUCAGAAGACAGGGACAACUGGCCCCAUCAGUCCCGUGCGGCCGCAGAGGCUGCAUGCUCAUGUCUGAGCAACUUCAGUGCCUUGUGUCUUCUGUGUUUCAGGGUCUUAAUCCAGGAAGAAGUUCCCAGGCUGAGCAAUUGCUCCGCCCACCUCAGAGCUGGAUGGCACCCUCUGGGAGAGCGUGUGGUCAUGCUCCGUCCUCCAGGAGAUGACCAUCCUGGGCUCAGAUGGCCAGGACUGCCUCUCUCAUCAGAUGACCAGGUCAGGCACUGCAGCAGCAGGGGUCCCAGGGCCUGCCAGGAGACCCCCCCCCAGCUCAACUGAGCAUCCUGGGAGUUGCUCUAUGCAGGAUGAUGAUGGCCACCUAAAACCAGGACACCACGGUCCCCAGAAACAAAGACACCAACCAGUUCAAGGCCGCUGCCACCACAGGAGCAGACCCAGCCCCUCCAACCAGGGUCCCGCUCUCACUGUCCUUCGGCCAAGCCGGGGCACGGAGGGGUGUGGAGGCCCAAAGGCUGACUGGGCAGCCCUGGUCUUGUGGGGGAGGCUGGCCGGGAAUUCUAAAGCGGCCCAGACUGGGCAGAGCCUCUGUGAAGGUCAGGACGGAGGCCAGCAGCAGGCCUCUGAGUCCGACUACUUAAUCAGGACUCAAUCCAUUUCCUUCCUUCAGUCCAGGCUCCGAGGCCAUCUUUCAAACUAAUGAGAAACCUUGUUUGGCGGCGGGCCGCUGCCGCCCUCCCCUGGUUUUUUAUUACCUCCCCCAAAGCCUCCUUCCCUGAAGAGGAACCGAGGGGCUGAGCUGUGCUCCCCGCUCUGCAGCCAAGCGCUUCAGCCCAGGUCUGCUCAGAGCCCUGGGGAGCCGAGGUUGCCCCAGGACUCUAGGGCCGAGACCGGGGGCUGCUCACACAAGUGAGCAGGGGCUGGCCAGGGGGGUUGGCACUUGUGCCUCAUCUCCUGCUGCUCCCUCCUGACCAUCAGGCGCCAAGUUCAAGGGAAAUAAAACCCCCACAAGUGGAUAGAUGACGUUUCUGAGGCUGCCCUCUGUCAGGGAAAGAUACCAACAGCCCAGCGAGGCCUAGGCAAAGUGGGGCACCCGGGGGAAGAUGGGGAGGGACAGGCCCAGGGGCAGGGCCUCCUGGACAUCAAGCCAGGGCGGCCACAGCACAGUGGCCAAGGAGACAGAGACCAGAGCAGCUGCUGCAAGCUUGUCCCCAACUACUUAAUCAGGAUGAUGAUGAUUCUGGGCCAUUCUGUGGCCCACGCUCCCAGGGUCCCCCAUCCUCCAGGGAGGGCAGCCCCACCCCCACAGCCAGUGCCCAUGGGCUGGGCGCUGACUCAGAACCUGAGUCACAGGUGGCUUCCUCCGGCAGAAGCUUGCCCAGGCAAUUGUCCUCUGAUCACUCAGCAGGUGGACAGGCCCCAAGGGGCUGGCAUCUGCAGCCUGGGGGAAAGAAACUGCACGCUGAGCAGCCUGGUCAGUAGUUGAGGAAAGUUCAAGCUCCCACUCAGGUGGCUGUGAGCGGGUUCCACGGUGCAGCUCGCCCCCUGAGAGCCACAUGACUGGCCAGCUCUGGAGUGCGUCUCGGGCAUCCCACGAAAUGUCUUCCCAACAUGGGGAGGGGCAGCCCUCCCGGGGCCUCGAUACUUCCCUAAGUUGUUCAGCACAGGACGCAGAGCCCCCCAUCAUAAUUUGCUUUGGGGUUCUCCAAAGAGAUGGAAUUUGCUUCAGCGAUCCUAAGCAGAAAGCUGGGCUCUGGAACCUGCCCGCUUGGUGGCUACACCCCUGCCCCACCAGGGACCUGUGGCCUGGGGGCCCUGUCAAGCGGGCAUUGGAAUCUUUUGGUUCCUGCCACCACACACAGCCUAAGGACAGUCACUGGGCAGAGCUGGGGCCCUCUCCACAGAUGGCUUUCCUCUUCAGACCACUGUCACUCCCAGCUGGCCUGGCCCUCAGGCAGCCUGCAGAUGCUCCCUGCAGGUUGGGGCCACAGGCUGGGCCUCACCUGCCUCUGGACCAGGUGGCCCCGAGAGAAGGGGAUAAUUGUUCAGUCAGUGUGAUGCGGACUCCUGGUCUUGGGCUGAGUCCCACCCCACCUCCCACGUAGGCCUCCCACACCUGUCCGUCAGACUCCAUGAUUCAGGGGAGCAGGCCCCAGCUCCCCCAGCCGGGCCAGCUUCCAGCACCGGCAGGUUGACAGUCAGGAGCUCUCUCCUGGCAUCCGGCCCUGUUUCCCCCCCCCCCCCCCGAUUCCUCAUUACUCUCCUGGGCCACUCUUCACCAAGCUUCUCUCCUCUGCCUUCGUGCCCUUCAAAGGUUUGUAGCAGAACUCGUUUCUUGGCUGAAGGACGGGCCAUCAGUCUCCUUAAUCUGACUUCAUAAAUCACCACCUGAGUACCCCCAGGUGCCCCCUGAACUCCUGAGCCCUCUGGCUACCUCUUGGGCAGUCCCAGGCCCCAGGUCCCUCCUGGAAGGGUGGGUGUGCCCCCAACACACCCAGCAUGUCCCCUGCCCCUCCCAAGGCCCCCAUGUGGCGGGGGCUUGGCAGCAGCGCCUGCAGGAGUCUCGCCAGGGGCCGCGCAGCUGCCUCUCCUGUCAGCGGGGCCUUCUCCUGGAACGGAUGUCUUAAGCUUGCUGGGAUCAAUUGUCCGUGGUGUCCCACUUAAUUCCCCUGCCAGGAGGCUGACAGCUUCAGCAGAGCAGGGUACAAGAAGGACUUUGUCAGGACGCUGAAUCAAUCCCUAAGGGACGUGGCCUUUGAGGCAGAGAGUGGAGGAGGGCAGGCUGGGGUCUGGAGAGGGUCUCCAGGACCCAUGAUCCCACCUUUAGAAAAAACCAGGGGAGCCCUGCUUACCCAGGACAAAGGGCGUAGCACAGCCCGAGUCCCGCACCCAGCCUGGACCCAGCCGGCACUCAAGCCCUCUCACUAAAAGGCCAGGUAAAGUUUCCACCAAAGCCCAGGAAAGGAAGGUGAGAGGAAGAGGACAUGCGCGUGCACCUAUGUGUGACUUCUUGUUGGGGAGAAGACCCCAAGGUGUCUUUAACCUCCCCCUCCCCCCAAGAUCCUUUAAGAUUAUUGGAGUCAGCCCUUCCCUGCUGGAGCGGCUGCUCUGCUCUGGGCAGGAACUGGUGAAAUGCAGAGGGGAGGGGGACGCAGCCCUGGCCGGGAGGGCUGCCGGCUUCCUGGAGGAGGGCAGUCACCUCGCAGCCGAGGGCAGGGCCUGGCGUUGCCCUGCUGCAGCACUGACUCUCACGCUGUGGUCCAAGACCGGCCGCCGCCACCCCCCGAAACUCGUUAGAAUGCAGAGUUUCAGGUGAAUCAGAUGCUCUGGGCGGGGGGGAGCCCACCUGCAGGUGAUCCAGGUGAGAACCACUGGGCUGGGGCGUGGGAAGACCUGGCCGAGGGAACCCCAUCCUGGGAUUUCUCCCCUGCUGCAGAGUUCAGGGCCUGAUGGUGUUUUCAGGGCUCUGGGGGCAGAGCCUGAUGGUCCCGUAGGUGGGCCAAGUGUGUGUGAGGAGAGUCGGCAAAGCAGAAAGCAUUUCUGAAAGAACCCGUGAUUUAGGGUUUCCCUAAAUAGCAUUAAAGUAACCACCAAGGGGACACAGCACCCUGGAGGCUUGCUCUAUUUUGUCCCCAAUCAGACAUUAGUAUAAUUGCUGUAUAAAGUAAACGUGAGCUUAGAGCUUCCCGCACCUGGAGCCCUUUCCUUGCUCUCCUGGACUGGUCUCUUGGACCUUCCUUCCAGAAUCAUUUUCCUAUAGAAAUGGCCCCAGUGAGGGUCUCCAGUCCCUGAGCUCUGUCUGAAGAUGUCUUCAUCUUCUUGAAAGGUAGAGACCCUGGGUGGACAGUUACUGACUGUAUAUUUUCAUACCCGAUGCUGUGACACUUCUAAGCUUCUGGCCUCUGUUCUCACUGGAGACAUCUGCCUUCAGUCUAAUAUGCGUGCAUUUGUAGAAGAUUUGUCUCUUCUCUCUGGCUUCUUUUAAAACCUUCCUUUUCCUAUUCUACAUCACCAUGAUGGGUCCAAUUAUGGCUUAAGAAAAAAAACAAAAAUAAAGUUUCUUGUUUGUGCUGUCUGAACUGAAAUUCAUGUCUUCUAGCAAUUCUGAAAAUUUCUCAGCCAUCAUCUCUUUGAAUAAUGACUUUCACCCCAUGCUCUCUUCCAGCUUCAGGAACUCCAAGCGGAUUUGUGUUCUUUCUUCUCACGCCAACCUCCUCCUCUCUCUCACCUCCACUCCAUAUUUUUCCAUGUUUUUCUUCUGUCCUGUGUUAUACAUCCCAGGAAUAGCUUCAGCUUCAUCGCUCAGUCUGCCAAUUGCCCUCCAAACUGAAUCUCUGUCUGUCUAACACGUCCAUUGAAUUUCCCAUUUCAGUUCGUAUAUUUUUCAUUUCUAGGAGUUGUACUGGACUUUUUUCCUAUCUCUCUGACCACUUUCAGAAUAUAUUUUUCUGUGUCUACAUUCUCAUUUUUAAAAUUUAACAAUUGUUUAACUUCUUUUUAUUUCUGAUCAUUCAGACAUCUGAAAUCAUUUGAUCCAGUUUUGUGUGUGAGGUUUCUGCAGAUGCUGACUCACCAUGGAUGACUGACUUCCUCCCAUACCCCGCCCCCCAGAAGAUCUGGCCACAGCCCAGCACAGCAGGUCUCUCUUCCUCCCAACCCAGUUCUUCCCUCAUGAGGCUCACGGUUGAAUCACAUUCCCAGUUUCCCAUGUAGCUGAAUGUGGCCAUGUGCCUGCAUCCAAUCCAAUAGGACCCAGUGGAAAUGGUAGGUACCAUUUCCAGAUCUGAACCAUACAACCCUCCUGCUCUUCCCCUUCCUCAGUGACCUUGAAAGCUUCAAGGUGGAGAUGGCAGAGCCAUAAGAAAGAUGCACCUGGGUCACUACUUAACAGAGAAUUGCCACCACAUCUGUUGUCACUCAAGCAGGAAAAACUGCCGGAACUCAAGGCUGUACCUGCCACAGCAGCCAGCACGCCUUAGCUACUUCCCAGGCCACUGUGUAGCCCGAAUUAACCUCUCAUUACAGUGAUACUAUGAAUUAGGUCUUUGCAGAACCUUUGCCAGGCUUAGCUAAGUCAAGGGUGUUUACCUGGGUCACAGAGCCCGAGGGACCCACUGUAAAAGGUCCCCUCCCUGCCAUGUGUCUCUUAGCUCUGGACCAGGUCCUAUUCUGGCCACUGAGAUUCCAGACAACGCUGACAGCUCUGGAGGAGUUCGCAGGUAAUUGGGGACUCGGAUGCACACAGGUAACCCUGAGACAAAAGAAUCAUGGCCACUGUGCAUCUGAGGGUGGGGGCUGUCACUCAGGAGGUGAUGCUACAGGCUGAGGUUCCAGGACCGGGGUGGGUCUCUGCCUGGGAGGGGGAUCCUGUGGUCCAGAGCAUUGGAGACCAAAGAAUCAGGCAGGACUUGCCCCAGGUUGGAGCAGGCUGGGUCCCAAGUACAGCCCAGGGAGUGCUCUGGAGGAGCUGGCGGACAUCACGGCUCGUCCCUGCUAGCAAGCCUCACCUUAGAGCUCUUAGUGACACCCUGCCUGGCAUGCUUGGCACCCUCUGUGCAGACAGGUCAAGAGGCCACGAUCCUGUCCUGGCUGCAGAGGUCCCCUCUAGGCUGGAGGACCUCUUUCUUACAGCGGUGUCAUUCCCAAGACAGGUCUGCAGAGACACGGCAGGCUGGAGGACCCAGCUAAGACCCUGACACUCACACGCUCCUCUAACCUUCUCAGCAGCCUCAGGGGAAGUCACGGGCCCCUGCUGAUGAGACCAAGCGCAGGAACAGGCUCUGCUGGGACGCGACGGUGUGUCGGUGUGUCCUGUGUCCGCCUGGCUGGGCUGCGGCACGUGUUCAAACACUGGUCUAGAUGUUCUUAACCCUCAGCGAGUUGAUGGUCGGCAAAGGGACUGAGCUGGAUAACAUGGGGGCCCAUCCAUGGCUUGAAGGCCCCGUCUGCGAAGACUGGAGCUUUCCGGAGAAUCGGGAUCUUGCCUCAAGCCUGGGACGUGCAGUCCAGCCUGCCCCACCCUCGCCGCCCCGCCCGCCCACCUAAUACCCUCACUCCCUCCCUCUCUCUCUAAUGUUUCUAUAAAAUCAUUGUUGCUCA
rnacentral:lncRNA from 1 species